AUCUUGCAGUGCCCUCUGCUCCCUCUCCGUACCACCUCCUGACAUCAAGCAACUGCCACCAGUCGAUGCACCAGCCUUGCCAGCUCAAAAAACACCUGUGCCCCUUCCCAAAGAGCUGAUGUUUCUUGUGCCAGAACAAUCAGCUUCCACACAAACUAAGCCACGGGUUUCAACUACAGACUCAUCCACCUCUGCCCUCGGCUCUUCGGUGUGCAGCCCACCACCUCCGCAACAGACAGUAACCA